CGCCUGUUUAUCAAAAACAUCGCCUCCUGCAAACCACUAAGUAUAGGAGGUCCAGCCUGCCCAGUGACCACAAGUUUAACGGCCGCGGUAUUUUGACCGUGCAAAGGUAGCGCAAUCACUUGUCUUUUAAAUGAAGACCUGUAUGAAUGGCCAAACGAGGGCUUAGCUGUCUCCCCUUUCUAGUCAGUGAAAUUGAUCUGCCCGUGCAGAAGCGGACAUACACCUACAAGACGAGAAGACCCUUUGGAGCUUAAGGUACAAAUCCAACCACGUCAAACAACCUACUAAACAGGCACUAAACUUAGAGGAAACUGGAAUUUUACCUUCGGUUGGGGCGACCACGGAGAAAAGUAUAUCCUCCGAGUGGACUGGGCUUAAUUAACCUAAAACCAAGAAAGACACUUCCAAGUCACAGAAAAUCUGACCAAUAAUGAUCCGGCUGCAAAGCCGAUCAACGGACCAAGUUACCCUAGGGAUAACAGCGCAAUCCUCUCCCAGAGUCCAUAUCGACGAGGGGGUUUACGACCUCGAUGUUGGAUCAGGACAUCCUAAUGGUGCAGCCGCUAUUAAGGGUUCGUUUGUUCAACGAUUAAAGUCCUACGUGAUCUGAGUUCAGACCGGA
rnacentral:rRNA from 1 species